rnacentral:lncRNA from 9 species
UUCACGGCCAGUGGGCAAGAAUCUUCUCCAAGCUACCCAUAGCCAUGUUCGUCAUAUCUGAAAUGGAUGGUCAGAGUUGAUGAUGGAGUCAAGCCCAAGAAACAGAGCAGCCCAAGGAAAAUGUACGGGGCUGCUGUCUGGCAAACUCCACCCUUGCCUUCUCUGCACCCAGAACUUUGAACUGUCCCCUGGAUGCUAGGAUUCCACCCCUGCCAGAAUAGAACGCACGGCCAGUUCCUCGAUAACAAGGCAGGACCGUGUAAAAGUCAACAGCACUCUGUAGGGAAUCAACCCCAGUUUUAUUCUUUCUUGGCUGUGUGACUCUGGCAAAUGUGUCACCUUCCUGAGCCUCAGCUUCCCUACUUACAAAAUAAGGGUGAUCAUAAUUGUAGUACUGACGAGGACUGUAUGCCCAAUGCAGGCAAAACACUUAGAACAAAUGCCAGACCCAUAGGACAUGCCUGCCACAUACUAACUAUAAUAAUGAUGAAUUUUCUGUAUUGUCUCUUUAGGUCUUACAUCUUUAAAGCAGCAAGUCUGUCCCCUUCGUGCUCAUUGAGAAUAUCUGAUACCUUCAUGUUUGGACUCAUCCAGCCCCCAUCUCCUCAGUCUAUCUCAGAUCUGACGGUGGAGGCUGCUUUGUCCAGGACCAACCUUUUCUCUUGCCUCAUUUCUGUUAUGCCAGCUGAUGAAGAGCAUGCUAUGCCCUCAGCUUCUUGGACUUCACCCUGGCCCUGGAAGGGAAGGGGAGCUCUUCCAGGCCUCUGACUUGUGAAGACAGACACUGCAGAGGACUUUUUGCUGAGAAAAGAAGCUGAAUGAAGGGAUGGAUGUCUUUAAAAGGUAAACACAGACUUUGACAGAGGAAUUGAUUUGAAGAGGUCAGAGCAGCUCCCAAGGCAGAUCAGCACACAUCAGGCAACCCUGGGAGUUGCUGGCAGCCCAAACACCAGGCCAAUCAGCAUCUCUUCUGGAGUGGAUGGGAGAGGCAUGAAUACUGCUGGGACGGAACACAUGGAUGCUUAAAGGCUAAUGCCCAAUCACUUUGUUGUGCCUCUAAUGACCUCGCACAUGGACCUGAGGGUCCUCCUGGAGCCACACCUCUGAUGUAUUUUUUUCAUUCCCGAGUUCCUCUUCCUCCUCUGCAGGGAAACUCCACCUUAGCAUCUCUGGGGAUUCUGAGGACAUCAGAGGUCUCAUCUGAGCUGUAUGGCCCCUUCACUUCUCUGGUGGAGGAGUCUUUGUCCUUCUUUGGGAGAAGGAUGUCCUUUUUAAUCAAAUAAGAAGUUCUUUAGGAACAUAUAGAUGUGUGAGGGAGGAGAGGGACUCAUCUGGCCAGAUAGGGCAUUUGAGUCAUUAUCAGUUAUUAUCUCCCUCUCGUGGCCCACUGUCUUCACCUGCCGUUUCAGUAUUUCUCCAGCAAGAAAUGGAGAUUACUCAGCCAUCCUAUUUACAGUAAGUCUACUCAAUCUGUCAUGGGCAUGGGAAGGAUACACCAAAAGCUUAAGAUGUGGGAUAACUAACUUUUUCCCAGCUGGUCUAGGUCUUUCCUGGUUCUAUCAAUGAAAGACCUUUCUCAGCCAAAGCUAACUGAGACAGUCGGUCAUCCCAGAGAUGUGUCCUUCUUCCAAAAAGCCUGUCUUCUCCCGUGUAACUACAGAGGGUCUCUAUUUUCUUUCUGGUAUUUCCUCUUUGCUUGAGAUCUACCUCCAGUCAUUUCUCUUUCUUUUUUUCUUUUUCUCUAAAUACUACUAUCUAAUUUCUACCCCAACCAGGUUAGCAAGAAGGACAACUGGCCCAAGAUAAUGGGGAGCAUUUUCUGAAGGACGUAGGAAAGAGACAAAAAAAAAAAAAAAAAAAAAAUGAAGCUAACCUAAUGUGCUGUACCAGCCAAGAACUGUACCAUCUACUUAGCGUAUACCAUGUAAUCAUCACAACGUGGGAUAAGUAGUAUUAUUGUUUCCAUGUUCCAAAUAGGAAAAUAAAAGUUAGAAAGAUUAAGUAAGACGUCACAUUGCAAACAUAUAGUGGAACUGGAAACAGAGUCCAGGUCUAGUCUGGGGAAGACGUGAGGUUGCCUUCAUCCUAGAAGGGAAGUUUGGGGUUACAGUUCUAAAAUUUCCCAAAAUGUUGAAGCCAAGGGGAAAAAAUCCACUGUGAUAGAAGAGAGCAGAUGAAGCAGCAAUGUGGGAAAACUGAAAUAUAUGCAUUUCUCUAUUUUUUUUUAAUUUUUAACACUCUUUAUAGAACUUAAGUCAUUUUGUAAGCUUUGAAACAUAAAAAUGUAUUAUGUAUAAUGUGCUUUGCUCAUAAAAUUAUCAUGUUUGGUGUAUUUAAAGAUGUGAGAACAUAGGAAGAAGGAGAAGAGUUUUGGGGAAAUAGCUUUCCUCCUUUUUUGAAAAAAGUUAAAAGGUUUUGAAGGAAAAAAAAAACCCAUGCUAAAUAGAAGUUUUCUAUUUUUUCACCAGAUGUUCACAAUUACAUUUGCAGUUAUUAACUUUUCCUUUUUUCUUAACCUCUAGGAACCCUCAAACUCACCCUCAGAGGUUCCCGCACCUGCCCAGGGGCCAGUGCUCAGCAUCACUGUCCCUGCCCCUCUGCACCCCCUCCUUCUCUCUAGUUGUGGGAUACUUCACAACUCUGGCACCCUCGAUUUUUUCCUGGUCCUUUCUCAAGCCCCAGCCUUUCAUGUAGCUGCCUACUCAGUAGCUCUUACUUGGUUCUGCUCUUCAUAAUUAACUACUCCUUAUGAGUAGCUGGUGUCUGUGCUACUUCAUGGCAGCUCCUGGUCAUCUCACUCAGAUGAUUUAUGAUCUCUGGGAUAAGCUGGGCUCUAGAUUCAGAGGACUGCCUCUCUAAGACUGUCAGAGGAGUGAAGCCAGGGAGCUCCUCUUUAUCACACAUGUACGCAUGUACAUCUAGGGGAUACAGUCCUACACUAGGGUUCCUGGUUAGAUAACUGGCAUGUGAGCUUGAAUGUCACUCCCAGUUGGCCUCCUGGCCAAGUGCCCAUCCCUGCUGGUCCCAGAUCAAGCCAAGGUUUUCAAAAGAGUUUGGUCCAAAGACUGGAUAUAACCGAGAUGCCCACAAUAAAUUUGCUUAAAUUAUGAUAUAUCUAUAAAAUGGGAUAAUAUGCGUCUACUAAAAUAUCAAGACAGAACUAUGUCUACCAAAUAUGGUAACUACCUUUAAGGAAAUUUAACCAAGAAAAGUAAAAUAUGAAAUAAUGUGGAAAUAUGCCUUAUUACAUUAAAAAGCAUAAAAGUGAGACAAUAGAUGCAUAUUUGCUUAUUUGUCCAUAAAAUAUCUUUAAUAAUCUUUACAAUAUUCAAGAAACUAUGACAGAGAGGUAACCUGAAGGAUUAAAGAACAAAGAGAGACUUAAUUUUGACUAGAUAUUCUUUUAUAGUACUUACUUUCUAUGAUUUAUAUUCAUGGCCUUUUGACAGUUGGCUAACUGGAGAGCUAGGAAAACCAAUAGCUAAAUGAAAAUUUCAAGGUGGUUUGACACCUUGUAUCCAUUUAAUAAGUAUGCUGUAAGUUAACUAAAUGAAAAAAUUGCUUAUUGAUCAAGUCACCACUGCAUAAAGGGAUGACAGCAUGGAUGUAGUCCAGUGAAUCUAAAAAUAUUUGUUUAUCCCUGAGAAAGGAAGGUAAAUGAACUUGCCUCUAGAUGGUCUCUCAGCCAUUUAGUUAUC